rnacentral:rRNA from 1 species
UACGGAGGGUGCAAGCGUUAUCCGGAUUCACUGGGUUUAAAGGGUGCGUAGGCGGGUUGGUAAGUCCGUGGUGAAAUCCCCAAGCUUAACUUGGGAACUGCCGUGGAUACUAUCAAUCUUGAAUAUCGUGGAGGUAAGCGGAAUAUGUCAUGUAGCGGUGAAAUGCUUAGAUAUGACAUAGAACACCAAUUGCGUAGGCAGCUUACUACACGAUCAUUGACGCUGAGGCACGAAAGCCAGGGGAGCAAACGGG